AUAACAAUCGGACCGUCGGUCUACCGAGCAAUUAACCCGCUCGAUGGAAGAUCUUCCCUUUGUCGU
rfam:Bombyx mori DNA, contig: Bm_scaf66_contig30108, strain: p50T/Dazao, build 2, whole genome shotgun sequence.